rnacentral:tmRNA from 1 species
GGGGUCGACUGGAUUUGACAGCAAGAUGAAUCAGUCAUGUAAGCAUGUGGAGUAUUGAAUGUUAGCUCCUUAAAUCAAAAUGCUCAUAUCCAUUUAAUUGGAGAAAACAACUACGCGUUAGCUGCAUAAUAAGACCGAGUCUUAUCAUCUUAAUCGCUUCACAAUAGUGAACCGACUAACUACCCGGUAAUGAAUCCCCGUUUAACUGUUCAUUACAAUGGGUAUCAGUUUGUUAAACUAGUGCACUUAGAGUCUUGAUAAGUGUGCGAAAUUAAAAAGAAUAAGUCUGUAGUGGAUUGCUCAUGGUCAGCUACUUAUCGAAAAUUAAUUGUGAGAUAAACAUGUAGAAGGCACGAAUGUUCCUUGUUUGGACGAGGGUUCGAUUCCCUCCGACUCCACUU